GAUGAACGCUAGCUACAGGCUUAACACAUGCAAGUCGAGGGACCGGCGCACGGGUGAGUAACACGUAUCCAACCUGCCCUUUACUCGGGGCUAGCCUUUCGCAAGAAAGAUUAAUACCCGAUAUCAAGGAUGGGGAUGCGUUCUAUUAGGUUGUUGGUGAGGUAACGGCUAACCAAGCCUUCGAUGGAUAGGGGUUAUGAGAGGAAGUUCCCCCACAGUGGAGAUACGGUCCGGUCUCAAAUCGUACGGGGGGGAGCAGUAAGGAGUACUAGUCAAUAGGCGCUAGCCUGAACAAGCCAAGUAGCGGGAAGGAUGAAUGGUUAGGGGUCGUAAUCUACUUGUAUAGAAGAAUCGGUAUUAUCUGAAUAAGGACCGGCUAACUCCGUGCCAGCCGCCGCGGUAAUAC
rnacentral:rRNA from 1 species